rnacentral:rRNA from 1 species
UACGUAGGGGGCAAGCGUUGGUCCGGAAUCAUUGGGCGUAAAGAGCGUGUAGGCGGCUUGGUAAGUCCGCUGUGAAAGUCCAGGGCUCAACCCUGGAAUGCCAGUGGAAACUGUCGAGCUAGAGUCCGGAAGAGGCGAGUGGAAUUCCUGGUGUAGCGGUGAAAUGCGCAGAUAUCGGGAGGAACACCGGUGGCGAAGGCGGUUCUGCUGGGCCUUACCUGACGCUGAGGAGCGAAAGCGUGGGGAGCGAACAGG